rnacentral:rRNA from 1 species
GACGAACGCUGGCGGCGUGCUUAACACAUGCAAGUCGAACGGAAAGGCCCUGCUUGUGUGGGGUGCUUGAGUGGCGAAGGGGUGAGGAACACGAGAGUAACCUGCCCUUGACUUUGGGAUAACUUCAGGAAACUGGGGCUAAUACCGGAUAGGAGCGCCUGCUGCAUGGUGGGGGUUGGAAAGUUUCGGCGGUUGGGGAUGGACUCGCGGCUUAUCAGCUUGUUGGUGGGGUAGUGGCUUACCAAGGCUUUGACGGGUAGCCGGCCUGAGAGGGUGACCGGCCAAAGUGGGACUGAGCUACGGGCCAGAGUCGUACGGGAGGCAGCAGUGGGGAAUAUUGCACAAUGGGGGGAAGCCGGAUGCAGCAACGCCGCGUGCGGGAUGACGGCCUUCGGGUUGUAAACCGUUUUCGCCUGUGCCGAAGCGUGAGUGACGGUAACGGGUAAAGAAGCACCGGCUAACUACGUG